rnacentral:rRNA from 1 species
CACUACGGUGCUGAAGCAACAAAUGCCCUGCUUCCAGGAAAAGCCUCUAAGCAUCAGGUAACAUCAAAUCGUACCCCAAACCGACACAGGUGGUCAGGUAGAGAAUACCAAGGCGCUUGAGAGAACUCGGGUGAAGGAACUAGGCAAAAUGGUGCCGUAACUUCGGGAGAAGGCACGCUGACACGUAGGUGAAGUGAUUUACUCAUGGAGCUGAAGUCAGUCGAAGAUACCAGCUGGCUGCAACUGUUUAUUAAAAACACAGCACUGUGCAAACACGAAAGUGGACGUAUACGGUGUGACGCCUGCCCGGUGCCGGAAGGUUAAUUGAUGGGGUCAGCGCAAGCGAAGCUCCUGAUCGAAGCCCCGGUAAACGGCGGCCGUAACUAUAACGGUCCUAAGGUAGCGAAAUUCCUUGUCGGGUAAGUUCCGACCUGCACGAAUGGCGUAAUGAUGGCCAGGCUGUCUCCACCCGAGACUCAGUGAAAUUGAACUCGCUGUGAAGAUGCAGUGUACCCGCGGCAAGACGGAAAGACCCCGUGAACCUUUACUAUAGCUUGACACUGAACAUUGAGCCUUGAUGUGUAGGAUAGGUGGGAGGCUUUGAAGUGUGGACGCCAGUCUGCAUGGAGCCGGCCUUGAAAUACCACCCUUUAAUGUUUGAUGUUCUAACGUGGACCCGUGAUCCGGGUUGCGGACAGUGUCUGGUGGGUAGUUUGACUGGGGCGGUCUCCUCCUAAAGAGUAACGGAGGAGCACGAAGGUUGGCUAAUCCUGGUCGGACAUCAGGAGGUUAGUGCAAUGGCAUAAGCCAGCUUGACUGCGAGCGUGACGGCGCGAGCAGGUGCGAAAGCAGGUCAUAGUGAUCCGGUGGUUCUGAAUGGAAGGGCCAUCGCUCAACGGAUAAAAGGUACUCCGGGGAUAACAGGCUGAUACCGCCCAAGAGUUCAUAUCGACGGCGGUGUUUGGCACCUCGAUGUCGGCUCAUCACAUCCUGGGGCUGAAGUAGGUCCCAAGGGUAUGGCUGUUCGCCAUUUAAAGUGGUACGCGAGCUGGGUUUAGAACGUCGUGAGACAGUUCGGUCCCUAUCUGCCGUGGGCGCUGGAGAACUGAGGGGGGCUGCUCCUAGUACGAGAGGACCGGAGUGGACGCAUCACUGGUGUUCGGGUUGUCAUGCCAAUGGCACUGCCCGGUAGCUAAAUGCGGAAGAGAUAAGUGCUGAAAGCAUCUAAGCACGAAACUUGCCCCGAGAUGAGUUCUCCCUGAGACUUUAGGUCUCCUGAAGGAACGUUGAAGACGACGACGUUGAUAGGCCGGGUGUGUAAGCGCAGCGAUGCGUUGAGCUAACCGGUACUAAUGAACCGUGAGGCUUAACCUUACA